CGUGUAGGUGGUUCUGUAAGUAGGGCGUGAAAGCUCCCGGCUCAACUGGGAGAGGCCGUUCUAAACUGCAGAGCUAGAGGAUGGUAGAGGGAGGUGGAAUUCCAGGUGUAGCGGUGAAAUGCGUAGAUAUAUGGAGGAACACCGGUGGCGAAAGCGGCUCUCUGGUCUGUAACUGACACUGAGGCUCGAAAGCGUGGGGAGCAAACA
rnacentral:rRNA from 1 species